rnacentral:rRNA from 1 species
CCUACGGGAGGCAGCAGUGAGGAAUAUUGGUCAAUGGACGCAAGUCUGAACCAGCCAUGCCGCGUGCAGGAAGACGGCUCUAUGAGUUGUAAACUGCUUUUGUACGAGGGUAAAUCCCGACACGUGUAUCUUUUUGAAAGUAUCGUACGAAUAAGGAUCGGCUAACUCCGUGCCAGCAGCCGCGGUAAUACGGAGGAUUCGAGCGUUAUCCGGAUUUAUUGGGUUUAAAGGGUGCGUAGGCGGUUCGUUAAGUUAGUGGUGAAAGCCCGGGGCUCAACUGCGGCACUGCCUCUGAUACUGGCAGGCUAGAGUUUAGUUGCGGUAGGCGGAAUGUAUGGUGUAGCGGUGAAAUGCAUAGAGAUCAUACAGAACACCGAUUGCGAAGGCAGCUUACCAAACUACGACUGACGUUGAGGCACGAAAGCGUGGGGAGCAAACAGGAUUAGAUACCCGUGUAGUC